AUUGAACGCUGGCGGCAGGCUUAACACAUGCAAGUCGAGCGGGGGAAGGUAGCUUGCUACCGGACCUAGCGGCGGACGGGUGAGUAAUGCUUAGGAAUCUGCCUAUUAGUGGGGGACAACAUCUCGAAAGGGAUGCUUAUACCGCAUACGUCCUACGGGAGAAAGCGGGGGAUCUUCGGACCUUGCGCUAAUAGAUGAGCCUAAGUCGGAUUAGCUAGUUGGUGGGGUAAAGGCCUACCAAGGCGACGAUCUGUAGCGGGUCUGAGAGGAUGAUCCGCCACACUGGGACUGAGACACGGCCCAGACUCCUACGGGAGGCAGUAGUGGGGAAUAUUGGACAAUGGGGGGAACCCUGAUCCAGCCAUGCCGCGUGUGUGAAGAAGGCCUUAUGGUUGUAAAGCACUUUAAGCGAGGAGGAGGCUACUCUAGUUAAUACCUAGGGAUAGUGGACGUUACUCGCAGAAUAAGCACCGGCUAACUCUGUGCCAGCCGCCGCAGUAA
rnacentral:rRNA from 1 species